GUGGGGAAUCUUGCGCAAUGGGCGAAAGCCUGACGCAGCCAUGCCGCGUGAAUGAUGAAGGUCUUAGGAUUGUAAAAUUCUUUCACCGGGGACGAUAAUGACGGUACCCGGAGAAGAAGCCCCGGCUAACUUCGUGCCAGCAGCCGCGGUAAUACGAAGGGGGCUAGCGUUGCUCGGAAUUACUGGGCGUAAAGGGCGCGUAGGCGGACAAUUUAGUCAGAGGUGAAAGCCCAGGGCUCAACCUUGGAAUUGCCUUUGAUACUGGCUGUCUUGAGUACGGGAGAGGUGAGUGGAACUCCGAGUGUAGAGGUGAAAUUCGUAGAUAUUCGGAAGAACACCAGUGGCGAAGGCGACUCACUGGCCCGUUACUGACGCUGAGGCGCGAAAGCGUGGGGAGCAAACAGGAUUAGAUACCCGAGUAGUCC
rnacentral:rRNA from 1 species